rnacentral:rRNA from 1 species
UAAGGAGGGGGCUAGCGAUGUUCGGAAUUACUGGGCGUAAAGCGCACGCAGGCGGAUUGAUAAGUCAGGGGUGAAAUCACGGGGCUUAACCUCGGAAUUGCCUUUGAUACUGUCUGUCUUGAGUCCGGGAGAGGUGAGUGGAAUUCCUAGUGUAGAGGUGAAAUUCGUAGAUAUUAGGAAGAACACCAGUGGCGAAGGCGGCUCACUGGCCCGUAACUGACGCUCAUGUGCGAAAGCGUGGGGAGCAAACAGG